AGGAGCCUGGCAGGCUAUAGGCAGUCCAUAGGGUCACAAAGAGUUGGACAGGACUGAAGCGACUUAGCACGUAAGCAUUCUAAUUUUGCUUAGUUAGGGAUGUAAUAAAUUUUUGCUACUGUUAAUGCGAAAUGAAUAGUAUACAAAUCUUUGUUCACAUUUGCUCUAUUUUAUCUAUGAUAGUUUCCUGAAACAUGGAAUUGGUGACACAUAUUGCCACAAGGCUUUCUAGAAAUGUACCAUUGUAUGGAAAUACUUGUUUUAUUGAACCCUUAACAAACUGGUUGUGUUUGAAGAGAACUUUGCUAUUGUUUUGGGGUUGGAAGCAUUUGUUGAAAAGCCUUGCUACUUAGCAUGGCCCACAGAGGAGAAGCAACUGGCAACAUCUGGGGGCUUAAGGAAAGGCAAAAUCUUGACCACAGAGCUUGCUGAAUCCCUAUUAAUAAGAUCUCUCAAGUGAUGUGUAUUAAAGUCUGAAAAGCACCAUAGUACAUCCCAUAUUAAAAGUUGCAUGGAGAUUUUGAA